UCACUCUCUCUAAAAAUUUUCUACUUGUAAGAGUUUUCUUUCUAGAAUUCCAUGUAACCACACCCUCCCUAUAAUCAAAUUAAGAGAAAAUGAAAGAAUUUUGUAAGAGAGAACAAAGUUUUUCCCUCUCCCUCUACCACCAGCUGGUUUUAAGAGAAAAAAGGGGGAAUUUUUUUCUUUUUUUUAUUUACAAAAACCACCACUCAUACUUACCAUGAUGAAGACAAGAAAACAUAUUUAUCAUCUCAAUCUCUACUUUAUCGGUCUCUUUGCAGUACACUUAUCUGCAUCACAGGUCUUUGCGUAGUAUCACUAUUUUCUUGGUUCCUCUAGUCAUAUUGGUUUGCCAAGAUCGCUCACUUUGAAUCCUUUGAUGCAUUGCUUCAUGAUGCGGGAAACAAGAUGGGACUCUUUUAUCUGUAGAGAAAUGGAUAUCCCUCUCUACAUUUUGACUCCUUUUUUGCUUCAAACUUUAUGGCUUUGAAUGACUUCAAACUCCUGUGUUUUUAUAUAAUAACAAUGAGCUUUUUGUAUUUCUUAGUUCUGCUUAAUGCAUCUUCAAGUGCUAUAAAUUGUUUUUGCUUAACUACUUAGAUAGAAUUAAUGAAUUUUAUAGGCAAAAAAAGGAUGUGAAGAAGAGUUUAAAACAGCUCCACAGAAGCUUCGUGGCAAGAAAGUUGAUAUAUUUCAAGAGACAGUGGAAAUCAUAGUUCUUAACCAGAACUUAUGUUCUAUACGCUGAUAAUGUAGUUGCAAUUUGAAGAAAAGUAUGAUGAGUUUUAUGCUUUUAUGACAGGACCGCAUAGAAAGUCUUGAACAACUUCUAAAAUCCAGGCUCCAAGAUUUGUUUCAAAGAAGAUUCCUACUCUAAGUCGUCAUUGUAUUAUUCCUCUUUGCAGCCUUUCAAUCCUAUAUUUUCUUUAUUCUCCA